UACCCAGACUAAUUUCCGAUUGCCCUAAUAGAUAUUGUCGAAGCAAUAUACAUUCCCUUCAAUAUUCUACUAGUUCCAUAAUUUACUAAAGUGAUUCAACAUUUGUGAGUGUAGUCAUGAUAUUAUACUUCUUUACAAUAAUGGUAUCAUUAAACUAAGCGAAAAUAGCUCCUUUAUCAUAUUACUAUCCCUCUGCUCCAAAGUCCUUUGUAAAUUGUGUGUGCUUUUCUAUAUCACCAGCAUUAAGCGUAGGCUUGACUUUACGAACUGCACUGUAGAAAUCUCGAACAGUAAGUUUUGGUUCCAUAAUGUCUUCAGGAUUCACCUCUAGCCAACUAGAUUCAAAUGCAUCAGGAUCACCAGGAGAACAAGGAGUUACAAGGGUCCUAUUAGACUUGUUAUCAUAUACCUCUUUGAAAUGGGUAGCUGUGUGAAUUCGUCUUACAGGCUCCAUUAUUGCAUCACGAACAACAAUAGAAAUAUCUGAACCCGAGUAGCCAUCGGUCAUUUUAGCAAGUUCUUUGAAAUCUUGUGAGGUCAGUUCCGAAGGUAUUUUACCGACAUUAAGCUCGAACAUCCGAGCGCGGGCAUGAGCAUUAGGCAGGGGAAUGUAAAUACGCUUUUCGAAACGUCGGCGAAUAGCAGAAUCAAGAGUCCAAGGAAUAUUCGUGGCACCCAGAACCAGAACUCCACUUUCAUCCUUUCCAACUCCAUUCAUUUGUACCAAAAAUUCUGUCUUAAUCCUUCGAGAAGAUUCACUCUCACCUUCGCUUCUGCUUCCGCACAGUGAAUCGAUUUCAUCAAUGAAAAUGAUAGAUGGUUUUUGUUCACGCGCCAUUUCAAAAAGUUGACGAACAAGCCUAUAAUGUUAGUCAUGUAAAUAUUAAAGAGUAAAUAGUUUUAACGUAGAAUAACAAACCUUUCGCUUUCACCCAUCCAUUUACUAACUAAAUCUGAGGAGCUAAUCGAAAAGAAAGUAGAACCAGCUUCAGUAGCGACUGCUUUUGCAAGGUACGAUUUACCAGUACCAGGAGGACCAUAGAGCAAUAUUCCUGACCAAGGCUUUCUACCGUGUGAAAAUAAUUGCGGCAGCUUAAUAGGUAGCAAAACUGUCUCUUUCAAAGCUUCUUUUGCGUUUUCUAGUCCCGCUAUAUCAUCCCAACGAACGUUUGGUUUUUCUACUAAAAUUGCACUAGUCAAUGCACUUCUUAACUUUUUUGCAUCAGAGUCUAACGCUUCAUUAGCGGUUGGAGAAUUGCUCCCCUCUACAUUUCCAUUAGAGACUCUACUUUUUGAAGAAAUUUGAUUGUUUUUCUCCUGUAAAUAAACCUUGAGCUUCUCCGCUCUAUCUAGAUAUUCGAUAACUUUUGAACGAAUUAUUUCUUUAGAUUUUUCAUUUUUUUCAUCUGAAAUAUUAGCAAACAAUAACUUGAAAAUGUAGAUCCAAAUAUAAAUUUCCUUAUGAAUCAUUGC